AAACUAACAAGGAUUCCCCUAGUAACGGCGAGUGAAGUGGGAAAAGCUCAACUUUGAAAUCUGGCUGCUUUGCAGUCCGAGUUGUAGUCUCGAGAAAUGUUUUCCGCGUUAAACCGUGUAUGAGUCUGUUGGAAUACAGCGUCAUAGAGGGUGAGAACCCCGUUCAUGACACGGCUUUUAAUGCUUUGUGAUACAUUUUCGAUGAGUCGAGUUGUUUGGGAAUGCAGCUCAAAUUGGGUGGUAAAUUCCAUCUAAAGCUAAAUAUUGGCGAGAGACCGAUAGCAAACAAGUACCGUGAGGGAAAGAUGAAAAGCACUUUGGAAAGAGAGUUAAAAGUACGUGAAAUUGUCGAAAGGGAAACGCUUGAAGUCAGACGUGCAUGGUGUUCAUCACCUUUGCAGGCCAACAUCGGUUUUGCGAGCCGGAUAAAGGUAAAAGGAAGGUAGCAGUUUCGGCUGUGUUAUAGCCUCUUACUGAAUACGGAUUGUGAGACCGAGGGACGCAGCGUGCCGAAAGGCAAAGGGUUCGCCCUUUACACGCUUAGGAUGUUGGUGAAAUGGCUUUAAACGAC
rnacentral:rRNA from 1 species